UGUCAUAAUUUUGUUAGAAAUGUAUUAGAAUAUUCUAGCAGGGCGAAAUCUGUAAGAAUUCUGCUAGAACUUUACUGGAAUGUUCUGACAGAACAUUUUUUCGCCAUCCGGUUGGUGGCGAACAAGAUUUUCGCCAAAACCGCAUGUUUUCCAACGAUCUUUCUUUUUUUCUAAGACUUGACAAGAGGAAAGGUGUAUCGCGAAUCUGAUAUCUUCAAAGAUGACUGAAAUUCGUGAAUUCUCCAAUGAACAUGGAUAUACACAGAAAUGCCUUGAUUAUGUCGUAAGCUCGGCAUCGCAUGCGUGCAUCGAUUCCCCGGAUGAUGAAUGGCCACGCACUCGGAACGCUCGAAACCGACGGAAGCCAGUAGUGAAUAUUUAUCCAAAGAAGACUCAUCGCAUCGCAUCUGAUUUUCUCUGUGUAAUUAUUUUGUAAAGCGAUAAUAAAAAUUUUGUUGAUUAAAUUAACUAAAAAUUUAUUAACUUUUUUCCCGGAUCAUUUAAUUCUAGCAAAAUUCUAGCAGGAUUCCAGCAAUUUUUUUUCCAACUCAUUCUAGCAAAAUUCUUACAGAAUUCUAGCAGGAGGCCUGUCAGAACAGUUCUAGCAAAAUUCUAGCAGGAUUCUAACAGAACCGGUUAAUUUCGCCAGCUCCUGCUAGAACCGGUUAUUGCAUUUGAGCUAGAAUUCUUUGAGAGGCAACCCAGUCACGGAUAUUUCUAGCAGAGCUUGUUCUGCUAGAAUCCUGCUAGAAUGAUUCUAGCAGGCUUGUCAGAAUUUCGUAAGAAUUUUGCUAGAAUAUUCUGACAGAGCUAAAUCUGUCGAAAAUGACGUCAUUUUUGCUGAACCGAUUUGUGGCGAAUGUGAUUGCCGCCAUUUUGUCAAGUUCUUUCAUUUUCAUUUGUCGAAGGAGAAUGACGUUUUUUUCUGCGCCACCAACUCGGUAAGUUAAUUGUUCAAGAAAAUGGCCCAACAUAAAUAUAUUUUUUCCUUUAUUCAGAAGAUAUACAAACACAGUUGAUCUCCUGGAGAAACCUCGGAAAUCGUCACAAUCGACGAUGCCACAAUGGCUUAGAAACAAUCGAUUGAACGGAUCGGAGCGGGCGCAAAUUGUGGAAAGUGCAGUACGAAAGUGUUGAUGUUUUGUUCAAAAAAUCCUCAAAAAUGUGUGUUGUGUUAGUAUAAUCGUGAAAUAAAUUAAAUAAAUCACUU